rnacentral:rRNA from 1 species
UACGGUAGGGGGCUAGCGUUGUCCGGAAUCAUUGGGCGUAAAGCGCGUGUAGGCGGCCCGGUAAGUCCGCUGUGAAAGUCCAGGGCUCAACCCUGGGAUGCCGGUGGAUACUGUCGGGCUCGAGUCCGGAAGAGGCGAGUGGAAUUCCUGGUGGUAGCGGUGAAAUGCGCAGGAUAUCAGGAGGAACACCAAUGGCGAAGCAGCUCGCUGGACGUGAGCUGACGCUGGAGACGC